rnacentral:misc_RNA from 1 species
GAUGAAGAACGUAGCAAAAUGCGAUACUUGGUGUGAAUUGCAGAAUCCUGUGAACCAUCGAGUCUUGAACGCAAGUUGCGCCCGAAGCCACUAGGCCGAGGGCACGCCUGCCUGGGCGUCACACGCCGUUGCCCCCCCAUCUACUCCUUCGGGAUUGCGGGGGGGCGGAUGAUGGCCUCCCGUGCGCCUAGCCGCGCGGUUGGCAUAAAUACCAAGUCCUCGGCGACGCACGCCACGACAAUCGGUGGUUGCGAAACCUCGGUUGCCCGUCGUGUGCGUUCGUCGCGCAUCGAGGGCUCGAAAAAAUGCUCGGCUCCGGCUGGGCUUUCAACGCGACCCCAGGUCAGGCGGGGUUACCCGCUGAAUUUAAGCAUAUCAAUAAGCGGAGGA